AUGGGCGACCAGAGCCUGAGCCUGGGCAUCCUCAUCGACAUCGUCGACGAGCAGUGGAUGCGCGACACCCUCCCCGCCGACGAUAUCCCCGUGCCGCCGGCGAUGGCCGUGAAGACCGAGGACACCGAGGACCCAGCGCCCGCAAGAAUUAUUUCAUACCAAACAGAUCAGGAAAGCCAGCCAGCACAAGGGGACGUAUGGAGGGAUUUUGCCUUGGAGAAUAUCUAA
rnacentral:rRNA from 1 species